AUCUUCAUCCUCUUUUUCUGCUGGAGAUCAGAGGCCUUGCAGAAACCCAAAGGGUCUUUCCUGGCUCGGCUUCCCAAUCACUGCCUCUAUCCAGAAAUGGGCACUCCUCUUCUUUACUGCAGCUUAGGGGAAAAAGGGAC
rnacentral:sRNA from 1 species